GCCGCCACUGCCGCGGCCGAGAACGACGACGAAUCCGUCGCUAAGACUGAGAAUAUCGAGGACAUGAAGCGGCGGCUGAAGGAGAUUGAGGAGGAGGCCGGCGCUUUGCGAGAGAUGCAGGCGAAGGUUGAGAAGGAGAUGGGCGCCGGCCAAGAAGAUCCAUCUGGUGCGACUACAACCCAAGCUGAGAAAGAGGAGGCAG
rnacentral:misc_RNA from 1 species